rnacentral:rRNA from 1 species
AACGAACGCUGGCGGCAGGCUUAACACAUGCAAGUCGAACGCCCCGCAAGGUGCGUGGCCGGCGGGGGAGUAACGCGUGGGAAUCUACCUAGUUCUACGGAACAACUGAGGGAAACUUCAGCUAAUACCGUAUACGCCUAAAGGGGGAAAGAAUUAUCGGAAUUAGAUGAGCCCGCGUUGGAUUAGCUAGUUGGUGGGGUAAUGGCCUACCAAGGCGACGAUCCAUAGCUGGUCUGAGAGGAUGAUCAGCCACACUGGGACUGAGACACGGCCCAGACUCCUACGGGAGGCAGCAGUGGGGAAUAUUGGACAAUGGGCGCAAGCCUGAUCCAGCCAUGCCGCGUGAGUGAUGAAGGCCUUAGGGUUGUAAAGCUCUUUCAGUGGGGAAGAUAAUGACGGUACCCACAGAAGAAGCCCCGGCUAACUUCGUGCCAGCCGCCGCAGUAAGAC